UACGUAGGGACCAAGCGUUGUCCGGAAUCAUUGGGCGUAAAGAGCGUGUAGGCGGCUUGUUAAGUCUUGCGUGAAAUCUCGGGGCUCAACCCCGAGCGGUCGUGAGAAACUGGCAGGCUAGAGUGCGGGAGCGGAGAGUGGAAUUCCUGGUGUAGCGGUGAAAUGCGCAGAUAUCAGGAAGAACACCCGUGGCGAAGGCGGCUCUCUGGAACGCAACUGACGCUGAGACGCGAAAGCGUGGGGAGCAAACAGG
rnacentral:rRNA from 1 species